GAUGUCCCGCCCUCGGGGAAGCCCGGGGAGGGGGCGGGCGCGCUGAUGACCGGAGGGAGGGCGUGCGGGCCCAGAGGAAAAGCCCCGAAGACCGGGAAGAUGGAGGAGGUCGCUGCGGCCGAGGGGGCGGGGGCCCCUAGCCUCCCUCCCGCGGGGUCACCUUGGCCAGGCCCCCCGCGGCCACGGGCGGCGGGGAGGGCGGCAGGAAUGCCUCUCCGCAGGCCCUGAUUUCUCCGCCCAGCCCAGUUCCAGGAACGCGCGGGCAGCGCCGGGCAGGCAGAGGCCCCGGCUUCGGAUUCGGGGAGGCGCAAGCCAGGGUUCGAGGCCGGGAUGAGCCCCUCCCUCCCGUCCCCUGCCGGGCUGGUCCCCGCCUUGCCCUCGGCCUCAGUUUCCCAGGCGGUAGAAUUAGGACGAGGUCGGGCCGGGAACAGUCCUGGCUUCCGCUCGGCCCCAGUCUUGGUCCCAGUAUUUGGGACAACCUGCAUCCCCAGCCUGAGCGCCGCGGGGGUCCUUGCUCGCUCUGGGACCUUCCGCGUCCAGCGCGGCGCCCGCGGUUAGGACGCGCGGUGGGAGUGGAUGCCGGCGAGUGCGAAAGCCCGGCACCCGCACCCGCCUAAGCUGUUUCUCCCUCCUGAUGUUGAACCCAGGCUCUGAGUUCCUGAAUGUGUCUUGUUUGGGCCACUCUGGAGCCCCCGCCCAGUUAUCUUCCUGCUGCUCUGCUGUCAGGUGGCAAAUCUUGGUUCAAAAACAGUCCUCCUGCUAUUGGCCAGCCUUGCCGCUUCACAGUUGGCCUUGAGGAGCCCAAGAGACGAAAAGCAUCCUCUAUAGGGGUCUUACAAUCCAGUAGGACCUGAAUCCAGUGACCAGGAGGCAGCGCCUGCUAUAGCAGUCACACCAAGCGUGGCUUCCUCCUUCUUAGUGAAAGUACUAAACCAGAAGUUCCCCAACUUACAGCAAGAAGGCAGCCAUCUGCAAGCCAGGAAGAGUGUCCUCACCAGGAACUGAAUUUGCCAGCACUUUGAUCUUGGACUUCAGCCUCCAGAACUGUUGGAAAUAAUGUGUGUUGUUUAAGCUACUCCAUCUAUGUUAUUUUGUUAUAGUAGUCUGAGCUAGGAUAAUUGCUGAAAGAUAUAUUUGGGGGGCUGAAUCUGGUCCCUUAAACUUUCAACAGUAAACAUUUAUUGA